rnacentral:rRNA from 1 species
AACGAACGCUGGCGGCAGGCUUAACACAUGCAAGUCGAACGCACCGCAAGGUGAGUGGCAGACGGGUGAGUAACGCGUGGGAAUCUACCCAGCCCUUCGGAAUAGCUCCGGGAAACUGGAAUUAAUACCGAGUACGCCCUACGGGGGAAAGAUUUAUCGGGGUUGGAUGAGCCCGCGUUGGAUUAGCUAGUUGGUGGGGUAAUGGCCUACCAAGGCGACGAUCCAUAGCUGGUCUGAGAGGAUGAUCAGCCACACUGGGACUGAGACACGGCCCAGACUCCUACGGGAGGCAGCAGUGGGGAAUAUUGGACAAUGGGCGAAAGCCUGAUCCAGCCAUGCCGCGUGAGUGAUGAAGGCCUUAGGGGUUGUAAAGCUCUUUCAGUGGGGAAGAUAAUGACGGUACCCACAGAAGAAGCCCCGGCUAACUUCGUGCCAGCAGCCGCGGUAAU